GACGAACGCUGGCGGCGUGCUUAACACAUGCAAGUCGAACGGAAAGGCCCUGCUUUUGUGGGGUGCUCGAGUGGCGAAAGGGUGAGUAACACGUGAGUAACCUGCCCUUGACUUUGGGAUAACUUCAGGAAACUGGAGCUAAUACCGGAUAGGAGCUCCUGCUGCAUGGUGGGGGUUGGAAAGUUUCGGCGGUUGGGGAUGGACUCGCGGCUUAUCAGCUUGUUGGUGGGGUAGUGGCUUACCAAGGCUUUGACGGGUAGCCGGCCUGCGAGGGUGACCGGCCACAUUGGGACUGAGAUACGGCCCAGACUGCUACGGGAGGCAGCAGUGGGGAAUAUUGCAGAAUGGGCGGAAGCCUGAUGCAGCAACGCCGCGUGCGGGAUGACGGCCUUCGGGUUGUAAACCGCUUUCGCCUGUGACGAAGCGUGAGUGACGGUAAUGGGUAAAGAAGCACCGGCUAACUACGUG
rnacentral:rRNA from 1 species